AACGUAGGAGACAAACGUUAUCCGGAAUUACUGGGCGUAAAGGGCGUGUAGGUGGUUUCGUAAGUCUGGCGUGAAAUUUUUCGGCUUAACCGGGAAAGGUCGUCGGAUACUGCGGAACUAGAGGACGGUAGAGGCGUGUGGAAUUCCGGGUGUAGUGGUGAAAUGCGUAGAGAUCCGGAGGAACACCAGUGGCGAAGGCGACACGCUGGGCCGUACCUGACACUGAUGCGCGACAGCAUGGGGGAGCAAACAGG
rnacentral:rRNA from 1 species